UUUUUUUUUUUUUGCAGUACGCGGGCCUCUCACUGUUGUGGCCUCUCCCGUUGCAGAGCACAGGCUCCGGACGUGCAGGCUCAGCGGCCAUGGCUCACGGGCCCAGGCGCUCCGCGGCAUGUGGGAUCUUCCCGGACCAGGGUACGAACCCGUGUCCCCUGCAUCGGCAGGCUGACUCUCAACCACUGCGCCACCAGGGCAAAGUGUCAUUUUCUUUGAUUGUGGAUGGAGGGAAUGACAAGGGAGGAACCUCUUGAGAUGACAGCCUGACAGCCUUUAAAUCAAGGAGGAUCUCUUUCCUAGCAAGCAUGAAGAUUAAACAGACUAAUGAAUCAAUGUUUUAGACCAUCCACUCCUGGGAGAACACAUCAGAGUCCCAUCAACAAUGGUCAAGUUGGGGAACAUUCUUUCCUGUCAACUGGCAAGUCUCCUGUUGUGUUGAAAGUCUUGUUCUUCUCUGGGAAAUUACUCUAUUUGAUGGAGACAGAUGUCACUCCACAUAAUUUGAUAGUUCUUCACCAGGAUCCAAGAGGGGUGUGAUAUGGCAUGGGAGCUGAAUAAUAAAAGAAAAAAAAGAAAGAAAACUCCUUAUUUCAAUAGUGGGGUGCUUCUCAAGCAUGGUGCCUAUUGGAAUCAUCUUGAGAGCUAAUGAGGAAGAGGCCAGGACCAUGGAUAUGCAGGAGUCCCCAGAGGAUGCUACACCUCCAAGUAUGCCAGUCAUCUCAAAGCUAACCUCAUGCUUCUAAGUGAGACAGUCUGGGACCUGGGACCUGGAACACUUCGCUGCAGUGCUUGCACCUGGACAAACGUCUCGACCUCCAGCAACAAAAUACAAAGAAACUAUAAGGGUCUAAAAAUAACUGUGUGCACACACAGUUGGGACAAAUUAUGGAAAACAAGACACAAAAAGACCAAAAACUCAACUGCCACUUCUGAGGUGUGGGGAGCAAAAGCAGGAUACUGUGCAUGCAUCUUGCACACAGCACCACCAAGGGCGUGGGCACACCACCUAAGCCCCCCCUCCGGCCUGACCCCUGGACCUCACCCCAUUUAAGAGACCAGCUCAUCACCCCCUCAGGAGCGAGCAAGGGCACCUGUUACUUGUUUUCGCUCCCUCCUGCAUGAGUCCCAGUAAAGCCUUGCCUGAAUUCCUUGUCUGGACAAGGAAUCAAUUUCCAUUGAUUAACGAGUCCAAGAACCCUGGUCAGUAACAUAAGUGUAAUGAGAACAAAGGUGAAUUAGCACAGUGACCAUAUUAGAUUUAUUGUGGAGACUAAAACAUACACAUGACUAAAAAAAACUCUACUAGAAAUUAGAUUCAUUCUGGCUAUUGUAGUUUCCAGGUAUCUCAAUUUGAUGUGAGCUAUGAUGUGAGGUAUUGAAUAUCAUCAUAUUUCCACAUGUGUUUUGGCAUUACAAUUCCCUUUUUACUAAUCUAGGGUAAAGUUGACUUAUGGAAUCAAAAUAUCGCCCAGGACAACUUACUAUGAGCCUGUGGGACUCUGGUAGGAAUCUUACAAGAUUAGUCCAAUUCCUGAUUGGAGAACACAAAGUUUGAAUUAGUAUCUAAAGAUCUAAAUAGAUAUUAAAUUAAAAUUUUAUGUAUAUACAAAUAUGUUUACACAAAUUCAGACCAGUUUCCUUCUUGAAAGAAUUCUCGGGGUUUACAUUUCUCAUGUGCUAGGUAAAUCCAAGAGAAGGUAGCAUUCCCUUAAUUUAUUUCAUCACAAAAAAAAUUAUUCAAGGAACAUCUUAUCAAAUGAGGUUUGCCUGAGGACUCUUUGGGAAACACCAAUCUAAAUACUAAAAAUGUUAAUAAUGUAUCAUGAGAUGUAACAUUAUUCUAUUUAAAAGGAGGUGAGUUUUAAUUUAUAGUUUCAGUCUUUAAGUAAAGAAGUCUUGUUUAACUCAGUGACUGAAGAAAGUAAAAGGACAAGCUUUACAAAUGACAUUAAAAAUGUAACAGCAUGGAUUUUUUUAAAAAAUUGCAUAUACUGAUAUCUUGAAACUUAAGAACAUUUUUUAUGGUGGCCAUUGUUGAUACUGUACUAGAUAUGUUUUAAAACAAAACAGAAUAAACCUACUGCUAGACUAUUCUCCCUAAAAAAAAAAAAAAAAAAUUUAGAACAAGGAAAGUAGGUGUGAAAACGGGUAGAAUUUCCUGCUCUAUUCCUAAUCACAGGAUUCUGAAACAUAAUACAUUCCAUAGUCAGUUAUCUGUUGCAUCUUAUUGGGUCUGGUGAUUGCCUAGCUGAUGUCAAGCAGGUGAGUUUGAUUGCUUUUCUGUUUGUCCCACUAUACAUAACUCUAUCUUAUGGCAUCAAGAGAUUAAAGUAACAGAGAGACCAGCAUAAAAGGAGCUCAGAGAAGCUGGAUUUGGAAAGCGGGCAGCAGUGGUUUGAACAAGACCCUUAGCAGUGCUCGUGAGAAAGGUAAGACACCUCUAAAGUCUGAUGAAAGACAAUUGGAUUUACUCAGAAUUGUAUGCAGUUAAAAAUAAUUUUCAAUUACCAAAUACCCUUAAAUGCUGGCCAUAUUAAACUAUAGUAAGGACCCCACUGAUGGGAUUAGUCACUUGAUAAUUGGCUAAUUCCUAUGUCAUUGUAUCUGACAGCUCAAUGUGGACCUAUGGAAAACAUUUAGAAUACACCCAUUUUACAGAAAACAAGACUCAGGGUAAAAGAAGGUGAAAAUAUGUGUCAUGUAACUUCCAUGCAGCACAUUUGAGGUCAUGAUGCUCUGGCUCCUCCCACAUUCCCACUCGCAUUUAUCGUUGUGUUUUUUUCUCACACCUCCUCUGGUUGAUGGAAGAAGUCAUACAUUGACCAAAUAUUUUGGCUGGAAAAAGGCCCAUGGAAUCCAGAAGGAUCAUCCAGUUGAGAGGUCAACAAAAUAAUCCGUGGCAACCUUCCAAAAUUCCACCAAAAAAGUUGGAAUAUUUAAAUUUUUACCACAUAGAGGUACUUUGGAGAACAUGAACUCAGAUCAGGGCUGUCAGAUGGCUCUAUGCUUUAUAAUGCUGUGAAGUUCUUUUUUUUUUCAUUUUUUAAAAUUUAUUUUAUUGAAGUAUAGUUGAUUUACAAUGUAUUAAUUUUGGCUGUACAGCAAAGUGAUUAUAUAUACAUAUAUAUUUUUCAUAUUCUUUUCCAUUAUGGCUUAUUACAGGAUAUUCAGUAUAGUUCCCCAUGCUAUACAGUAGGACUUUGGGUUUUUUUGUGGUUAUUAUUAUUAUUUUUUUAAUGAAUUUUAUUGGAGUAUAGUUGAUUCUGUUUGGAAUUAGGUGCUACAGUUGAAAAAAAAAUGAUUGCAGCUAAUCUCACUACAUUUUUAUUUGAAUAAUGCACAGAAAUUUUGAACAACUCUAAAAUUUAGGGGCACACAGUUGUAAAUGCAGUGAACUAAGCCAUGCUGGUUUUCAUUAGACUUCCAUUUAAUUUUCUAAUUAAUCUCAGAAAACAUUAAUUAAUUUUGUCUUUUCCACAGUUGGCCUGGCACCCUUGGGCCUGAAACACCACAAAUAUUGCUGGCCUGGAGCAGUAGUAAUCAACAUUUCUAAUUCGUUUGAGCAAUCCAGUGGCUUUUUCCUUACUUCUUUCUCUGAUAGGUACUUUAACAAUCAUUUAACCCCUUGGUUUUAGACUUUCUAUGAAAGCAUAAAUGAAAGAAAGAAUAGACAUCUCAGGUCAAAGUGAAAUAACAGGACAAAUGUCAUGCAAACAAGUUUUUACGUUGAGACAGAGUUGAAGUCUCUGCUGGAGAAAUACUUGUCUCCGUUUCAGAAGUGUCACAAGCUAACACCGUUUUGAGGGUUGCAUUAUCCCAUCGUCUGCCAAGAUAUUCACCAGGAUCGCCUGCCUGACGCAUCAAAAAAACUUUUAUAAUGUUAACUCACAAUGAAAUUUACACACAGAAAAAUAGACACCCUUAAAAGCCCAAAGCACUAGAGUUGGUAGUUCUUUUACAUUUUGCCAGCAAAAAACCACGUAUUUUAUAGUUUUAUUCCUUUUGACAAAAAAUAACAGAGCAAAGGCAAUUUCAAUGUGCAGUUGAGCCCAGUUUUGGAAACAAGGAGAGGAUGUGAGGUAACGACUACAGUACAGGGACAAGUGACUUAGAGAAGAGAUAGUUGAGCAGUAAUGCAAAUACAGCAUUUAAAACAAAUAAUUUAUCUCAGUUAACUAUGAAGGACAUUAGAUUUUCUAUACAUCAUACUGUGUAUGUUGAAGGAGUUGUCACACUGUUCUAUUUUAAAUUUAAAAUGCCUUUUAAGAUUUUACUGAGAAAUACAGUAUACCUAUAAAAUGUUUAUACUAUACACCUAUUUAAAAAUAAUAAUAAAAUUAACGUCCUUGUACUUGCAACCAAGAUUAGGAAACAAAGCAUUAUCUGCCCUAAGAAGUUCCCUCUGUGCUAUCAUCAAUAUUACUAAUAUUAUGAUUAUCCCUCUUCCUCAUAAGGGUAAUCAUAAUAUUAUCCUGAUUUGAGGUUUUACUGCUAUAUCUCCUUGUGUGACUAUGGUACUAUUUACUUGGCCAUUGUUAUUACUUAGGUUAUUUGGGUCGGUUCCAGUAUUUACCAUUACGAACAAUGUUGCUAUGGGCAUUCUUUUAAAUGUGUCUUGAUUCAGCUGUUUCUUCCAGCUAUAGACUUAGGACUGGACUUGGGGGAUUAAAAGGUAUGCACAUGUUCAGUUUUUAAAUGGUCAUGCCUGAGUUUUUCAAAAAACGUUGCAACAUGUUGAGUUUAUUUUUGUGUAUGGUGUUAGGCAGUGUUCUAAUUUCAUUCUUUUACAUGUAGCUGUCCAGUUUUCCCCGCACCACUUAUUGAAGAGGCUGUCUUUUCUCCACUGUAUAUUCUUGCCUCCUUUAUCAAAGAUAAGGUGACCAUAUGUGCAUGGGUUUAUCUCUGGCCUUUCUAUCUUGUUCCAUUGAUCUAUAUUUCUGUUUUUGAUUGGAUUGUUUUUUUGAUAUUGAGUUGCAUGAGCUGCUUGUAAAUUUUGGAGGUUAAUCCAUUGUCAGUUGCUUCAUUUGCAAAUAUUUUCUCCCAUUCUGAGGGUUGCCUUUUCGUCUUCUUUAUGGUUUCCUUUGCUGUGCAAAAGCUUUUAAGUUUCAUUAGGUCCCAUUUGGUUAUUUUUGUUUUUAUUUCCAUUUCUCUAGGAGGUGGGUCAAAAAGGAUCUUGCUGUGAUUUAUGUCAUAGAGUGCUCUGCCUAUGUUUUCCUCUAAGAGUUUUAUAGUCUCUGUCCUUACAUUUAGGUCUUUAAUGGGCAGAAGACCUAAAUAGACAUUUCUCCAAAGAAGAUAUACAGAUUGACAACAAACAAAUGAAAGAAUGCUCGACAUCACUAAUCAUUAGAGAAAUGCAAAUCAAAGCUACAGUGAGGUAUCACCUCACACCGGUCAGAAUGGCCAUCAUCAAAAAAUCCACAAACAACAAAUGCUGGAGAGGGUGUGGAGAAAAGGGAACCCUUUUGCACUGUUGGUGGGAAUGUAAAUUGAUACAGCCACUAUGGAGAACAGUAUGGAAGUUCCUUAAAAAUCUAAAAAUAGAACUGCUGUAUGACCCAGGAAUCCCACUACUGGGCAUAUACCCUGAGAAAACCAUAAUUCAGAAAGAGUCAUGUACCACAAUGUUCACUGCAGCUCUAUUUACAAUAGCCAGGACAUGGAAGCAACCUAAGUGUCCAUCAACAGAUGAAUGGAUAAAGAAGAUGUGGCACAUAUAUACAGUGGAAUAUUACUCAGCCAUAAAAAGAAAUGAAACUGAGUUAUUUGUAGUGAUGUGGAUGGACCUAGAGUCUGUCAUACAGAGUGAAGUUAGUCAGAAAGAGAAAAACAAAUACCAUAUGCUAACCCGUAUACAUGGAAUCUAAGGAAAAAAAAAAAAAAGGUCAUGAAGAACCUAGGGGUAAGAUGGGAAUAAAGACAUAGACCUACAAGAGCAUGGACUUGAGGACACGGGGAGGGGGAAGGGUAAGCUGGGACGAAGUGAGAGAGUGGCAUGGACAUAUAUACACUACCAAACGUAAAAUAGAUAGCUAGUGGGAAGCAGCUGCAUAGCACAGGGAGAUCAGCUCGGUGCUUUGUGACCACCUAGAGGGGUGGGAUAGGGAGGGUGGGAGGGAGAUGCAAGAG